UCUCUACAUUUCCAUUUAUUUAUUCAUCUAAAUAAAAAGAACAAAGCAUGAAGAGAAUGAAAAGACAGGCCACAGGCUGGGAGAAAAUAUUUGUAAAACACAUCUGAUUAGGACUGAUAGCGGAAACAUAAACAAAUACAUAAAAUCCAACAAUAUAAAAAAAGCCCCAGUUAACAAUUCAGCAAAAGAUCUGGACACCUCACCAAGGAAUCUGGCAAAUAAACAUGAAAAAUGUGAGAUAUGAUACAUUAGGGAGUCUCAAAUUAAGAUGUUUUACUGCUACAUACCUAUUAGCAUGGUUAAAAAACAAAAACAAAAAAACACAAAUGCUGGCAGGGAUGUGGAGUGACAGGGACUAAGCCAUCACGGGUGGGAAUGCAAAAUGGUACUGCCACCAUGAAAGACUGAUGAUUUCUUAUGGAACUAAGCAUACUCUCACCAUAUGAUCUAGCAGUUGCAGUCUUUGUAUUUUUUCAAAGGAAUUGGAAACAUAUUUACUCAAAACCUGCACACAAAUGUCAACAGCAGGUUGACAUUUGCUAAAACCUGAAAGCAACCAAGAUGCCCUGGAGUCCUUAUCUGGGUAAAGAAGCUGGGACACUUCCACACAACAGAAUGUUAUUCAGCUAAAUAAAUAAAUAAAUAAAUAAAUAGAUGGGGGAAGGAAAAAAAAAGAGUCAUCAAGCUGUGAAAACACAUACUUGAAAAGGCUACAUAUUGAGUCCAACUGUUGAUCAUCCCCACCUAUGGUGAUCCAAUCUAUGAUUUUCCUUUAGAAUGAUGUGAAAGUAGUACAAAUUUCAUACAGAAUUUAAAUUUUGACUUGGUCUGUUUCUGGGCUGGUGAUGUGCCUUGUGAUACUCUUGGGAUGCUGGGCAGAGGCAGCAAACGGAAGCCCCCAGGCAGUCACAGGAUCAAGAGAGAGAACAAUGGUGGUCUGUGGGUGAGUGUGUGAUGUUUGGUAGUUUAGCUGCCUUAAACCCAUUUUCUACUUACUGAUAUUUUCAGUUGAUGGGUUUAUCAGGCUGUCACCCCACUGUAAAUGGAGGAGACUCUGUUUAUGACAUUCUGGAAAAAGACAAAUCCAAGAGAGACAGUAAAAAGGAAAAGUGGUUGCCAGGGGUGAGGUAGGAGGGAGGGAUAAAUAGGUGGAACACAAAGGAUGUUUAGGACAGCAAAAGCAUUCUGCAUGAUAUUCUUACAAUGGACACAUGUCAUUAUGCCUCUCAAACCCAGCAGAGCUGUACAACAAAGAGUGAACCUUAAUGUUACUAUGGACUUGAGUAAUAAAGUAUCAAUAUUGGCACAUCAACUGUACAACAGAAAGAAAAUGCAUGUAUAGGAUGAUUACAAUCAUGUAAAAUAAAAACAACUAACACAAACAAAAGUACAAAGCACAGUCUGAUCCAGAGAAGAGUGGCAUUCCUAAUUUUGACAGGCCCUAAAAUAGCAAGGCAGGUUUUGAAUAAGAUGACAUUUUUAGAGGAAACAUAACCAUGUUUUAGUGUUCCCUGUACGCUUGGUACCACGUUUAAAUGCAUCAUUUUAUUAACCACACACAACUCUAAGGUAGACACCACUCUUUUUCCUGGUAAGGAAGCCGGCAUGCCAGCCACAGUGGUCAAACUGUCUAGGCCAAUGUAGAGGCAAAGAAAAUGUUUCUUUCCCCCUCUGAUGGUUCAGUAUUUGAGUUUAUGAAAUAGAUGGACACAAGACAGAUUUGUAGGAGAAAAGGUAUCCAAAUACAUUACAAGCAAGUGCACAGGAACCAAGAAAAAUAUGAGACUCAAAGAAGCGCCCGAUGAACUGAAGUUUUUAUGCCAGCCAGACAGGGACAGGGCAGUGGGGCUCCUGGAGGGCAGGGGUUAUGUGAGGUGAGGCCAUGCCUUGAACAAAGGUUUUUAUUAUGCAGGCAGUCUCCUGGGUAAGAGCCCUCAGAAAGCGCUCCAAGACAUCCUGUGGCCAGCUCUGGGCAGGGAUGUCCACAUGUUCCUCCCUACAAUGAGGUAAGGCAGAAGGGGGACCUCAAGAGGCCUCGUUGACACCCUGUUUACUUCACAAGCGUGCAUUUCCAUUAGAGUCACCCGUUUCUUUUACAAAAGGCCUUCUCAGAGCUGUUCCUGUGUCUGCAGUUUCUCUGAAUAGCCAUCUCCGAAAUGUGUCGAGGAAGUGUAUUUUGGGGUGGCAUAUUUUAGCCUCCCACACCAAUGACAUCCAUGUUAUUCUGCUGCUGAAAAAAAAGGUAGCUAGCAGAUGGGGUUAGAGUAGAAUUGCAGGGUCACUCAUUUGUUAGUUCCUAGAUCCUCCUGAAGUGCUUGGAAGUCGCUCAUCCCACUGGUUCAAACACCCCCCAGAAAUAGAAUUUAUGCUCCUAUGUUUAGCGAGCUGCUCUUCCCUCACGCCCACCAGCCCCAGGAGGCUGACUUCAGACACUCACCUUCUGCUGCCUGCGCACCAGCCAAGCCCAGCUGCGGCACUCCUGCAGGCUCUGCUGCCGGCAUGCCAAGAUCAGCGUGCACACUGUCACUGCAGAAAGAUGGCUCCUCAUCAGGGACUCUCCUGCACCCCAGGUUUCUUUGAGUGAUGUGUGACCACGUUUAUUCCUGACCCUGGACAAGGCUCAGGUCUCCUGGGGUGGCAACUGCUUUCCAAUCAGCAAUUUCUUCUGGUGAGAGGCUGGCUGAGAAGCUUCCACAAUGGAUCAAACUGGAGCUGCAAGAGGAAAGAGAAAAAUGAUGUAGAAGCAUCCAAGCCCCACCUCACCCCACCUCCCACCCACCAAUUUCAAAGAAACAGAAUUUUGGGAUGAAGAGCUUCUAGUGACCAAGUCCAGCAGUCACUGCAGAUGGAGCUGUGACUGUGGGAGGGAACAGUCAUUGGUGCCCUGGAGUGUGAUGUGCUGCACUUUCCAGAACCGGAGAGAAGUCUAACAUCCCUGUGUUCCAAGGCUGAUAGAUGUUUAUGCCAAAAAAAAAAAAAAAAAAAAAAAAAAUCAGGCACGUGUACCUAUAUUCCAACAGAGAGGGCGUGUUUUUUUUUUUUUUUAAAAAGAGACAGCACUUAGGAAUUAUAUAACUUUGCAUGUAUAAACCCAACAGCUGUGAUUUGUACAUAGUGAUAACAAAAUAUUGAUGCUAGAUUGACCUUAGGAAUACAAACUGUGCAAGUCAAUGUUGCUGGGGGUACCUGGAGGACAAGGUUGCACAACAUGGCCUGCCCUCUCUGUUCAGGGUCAUGUUGAAGGGUCAAUAGUACUGCAGCUGAAACACCUGCUGCUCAGCUGAGUCCCUGGAGCCCCUCCUUCUCAUCACAGCGGGCCUCACCCCUUGAAGCUGAAGGAAUGCAGUGACCCUGUUUCAAGUCAGAGCACACACCUCAAAACUCAUUUCUCUGAAAAUAAAUGGGCCCUUUUUUGUGGGAUGGGGAGUUGACAUUUUCUUCUUUCCAGAAAAGAUUACAGAAGGGUUGUGGUGGGGUUGAACUACUGUCACAGCUUGCCUCCAUGUGGCUUCACUGCCUCAACCUUAGAAUGCUUUUGUCAUCAGUAUGCAGAACUGAAAAGAGGUGUCUUCCAAGCUCAAAUGAUGAUGCUUGUAAGUACUAGAUGGUUCCUGUUAAAAAGAGAAGAAAGAUAUUUUACACUGUACUUUAAUCUCUUUAGAACCUUCUCAGAAAAAUUUGAUUUAUAGCAUUUAUGUAAAAAAAAAUGUGGAUUUGCCUUAUGAUGGAUUGAUUUUACUUUGGCAUGGAGUAAUCAGGAUGGGAUGACUUGGCCAUGUAUAUAUAGUCCAUGUCUGCUACUAAUUGGCAAACUCUCCGACUAGAUUAAAUCUUGAAGAUUAAUCAAGGAAUUUUUUAUGAGAGAAUGGAGCAGAAUUAACUAACCCUAACAGAAUGAAGAACUUUAUUUACGAAGUCUCUCACCACCCAAAAAGCCAUCAUCUUCACUCUUAGGCUCACAUUCUUUUCCACACUCUUUCCAUCUUCUAAAACAGGAAGUGGAUGGAAUUUUCUGUUCAUCAAAAUUUGAUUGGGCAAACAUCUGAGUGCCUGCUCAGUGCUAUUUUAUUAAGUUGGGCCUUUCCUAUUUAUUAUGGCAUUUAAUCGUCAUAGACAUGAUUUAAAAUAAGCCAUCUCAUUUUACAUCCAGGGAAAAUGAAGCUCAGGGGCCCAAGGUUCCUUCUCCUGGUAUCAAACCUUUUCUAAACUGACUUCACUAUGCCAAUGCUCAAGCUUAGAUGGCCUGUUCCCACUGCCAACUCUAGUCGGGACCACUGCCUCAUACUACCCAUUUUCUCAAUUUCCAGGCUUUCUUUCCUCAACCACUCAACAACUUCCUCAAAUACCAUAGUUAAUGUUUUUCCAUUACUUACAACUUGGUAACUUCCUAUUUUUUAUUCUAUCAAUUCUAAAUUCUCCAUUCUAACCUUAUUUUAUCAACUGCACCCACAAAUCUCUUAAUACAUUCUCCUUAUUAAUGUAUUACUCUCUCCCCCCACCUCCCCAACCACACACUACUGCCAUUUGUGUUACAUACAACUGCCUGUUUUAUGUCUCCUUUCCCAUGUGGUGACCACUAACCCUGCUCACACUGUCCUGGCCUCCAGACUCACCUCCCCUGUGGGGCCAACAUCUUCUGGUUGCACAUCCCUGUCCUGGCCUUCCAUAGCUCUAUGACAUCAUCUUGGGAGGGUGUCAGGAUAUGGAUUCAGGAGUCUCUGGUACACUGCUGGUAUGAGUAUGAAAUCACUUGGAAAACAAUACAGAAAAUCUUGGAAAACUGA